GCAAGUCGAACGAGAAAGUACCUUCGGGUGCGAGUAGAGUGGCGCACGGGUGAGUAACACGUAGGUGACCUGCCUUUUAGUUGGGGAUAACUCGAAGAAAUUCGGGCUAAUACCGAAUACGAAUCACAAAUUUGGAUAUAGUGAUAGAAAGGGUGCCUCUCCUUGGAAGCACUCACUAAAAGAUGGGCCUGCGGUGCAUUAGCUUGUUGGUGGGGUAACGGCCUACCAAGGCAAUGACGCUUAACUGGUUUGAGAGGAUGAUC
rnacentral:rRNA from 1 species